rnacentral:rRNA from 1 species
UGGGGGAUAUUGCACAAUGGGCGAAAGCCUGAUGCAGCGACGCCGCGUGGGGGAUGAAGGCCUUCGGGUUGUAAACUUCUUUUGCUCUGAACAAGGCAUGCUAAUGGGUGUGUUGAGUGUAGGGGUUGAUUAGCGCCGGCUAACUACGUGCCAGCAGCCGCGGUAAUACGUAGGGCGCGAGCGUUGUCCGGAAUUAUUGGGCGUAAAGGGCUUGUAGGUGGCUGGUUGCGUCUGUCGUGAAAGCUCAUGGCUUAACUGUGGGUUUGCGGUGGGUACGGGCUGGCUUGAGUGCAGUAGGGGAGGCUGGAAUUCCUGGUGUAGCGGUGGGAUGCGCAGAUAUCAGGGGGAAUGCCGGUGGCGAAGGCGGGUCUCUGGGCUGUUACUGACACUGAGGAGCGAAAGCAUGGGGAGCGAACAGG